rnacentral:rRNA from 1 species
ACGGGAGGCAGCAGUGGGGAAUUUUGGACAAUGGGGGCAACCCUGAUCCAGCAAUGCCGCGUGUGUGAAGAAGGCCUUCGGGUUGUAAAGCACUUUUGUCCGGAAAGAAAACCUCCGUCCUAAUACGGUGGGGGGAUGACGGUACCGGAAGAAUAAGCACCGGCUAACUACGUGCCAGCAGCCGCGGUAAUACGUAGGGUGCAAGCGUUAAUCGGAAUUACUGGGCGUAAAGCGUGCGCAGGCGGUUCGCUAAGACCGAUGUGAAAUCCCCGGGCUUAACCUGGGAACUGCAUUGGUGACUGGCGGGCUAGAGUAUGGCAGAGGGGGGUAGAAUUCCACGUGUAGCAGUGAAAUGCGUAGAGAUGUGGAGGAAUACCGAUGGCGAAGGCAGCCCCCUGGGCCAAUACUGACGCUCAUGCACGAAAGCGUGGGGAGCAAACAGGAUUAGAUACCCUGGUAGUCCACGCCCUAAACGAUGUCAACUAGUUGUCGGGUCUUCAUUGACUUGGUAACGAAGCUAACGCGUGAAGUUGACCGCCUGGGGAGUACGGUCGCAAGAUUAAAACUCAAAGGAAUUGACGGGGACCCGCACAAGCGGUGGAUGAUGUGGAUUAAUUCGAUGCAACGCGAAAAACCUUACCUACCCUUGACAUGUACGGAACCU